CACGUAAGCCUCGAGCGUUGUUCGGAAUUAUUGGGCGUAAAGGGCAUGUAGGCGGCCAUCUAAGCUUGGCGUGAAAGGCAGGAGCUCAACUCCUGGACUGCGUUGAGAACUGGAUGACUAGAGUUACUGAAGUGGAAUCAGAAUUCCAGGUGUAGGGGUGAAAUCUGUAGAUAUCUGGAAGAAUACCAAUGGCGAAGGCAGGUUUCAGGCAGAUAACUGACGCUGAGGUGCGAAGGUGCGGGGAGCAAAC
rnacentral:rRNA from 1 species